AUAAACACGAUGAUGUGGAAAGUAAAUCAAAGGACCCAGAUAGAGAGCUUACGGUUGGUGGAAGUAAGUUGGAGAAUGCGAUUGAAAAUGGCCACGGAGUGGUCAAGCUGAAUGCUUCGGCAAUAAGUUUGAACGGUUGCCCCCGUUAGUCUGGCCCCGCUAUUGUUAAUGGAGAAAAGUUAACUGCAGCGGUUGAGGUUGUCCUAGUGAUGGGGCAACAAAUUAAGGUGGUAACACGAAGUUCAACUCUCGUCCUUUUG
rnacentral:ncRNA from 1 species